UCUUCCUCCUCCGUAGCGGCGCAGCCAACUCUCUCUCUCUCUCUCUCGCCCCUCUCUUUCUCUCCCCCACGCAGCUCCUCGCUGCCGCCGCCCCAAUUCCAGCGACUUCUGACGGCUAUGGCCAGCGCGCGGCACACCCUCUUCUUCCCCUCACUUUGCUCCUUCCUCCCCUCGCCACCAGCGCUUGCCCGCAAGCCCUCCCCGUGGCUAGGGUUUCGGCGCCGACGAGGCUUCAACGGAUCAUGCAGCUCAUCUCUGGCCAUCGCGUGUUCCUCCACCACCGUCGGGCAGCUAGAUCUGUGGUUGUCCUCCCCGACCGUCGGGCAGCUCGAUCUGUUGCUUCCUCCGUGAUAGCGCCACAACAAGGCCCACUAAUGCCCUUCCAGAUGCAAAGCAGCUCGACCUCAACUUCCCUCCCCGACUGCUGGAGCUCGCGUUAGUGCACUACCCUGAUGCCGGAGCUCGCGUCGUUGUCCUCCUGCCACCACUGAAGGUAACUUUUCAAUUUUCAGUCAAAUCUAAUAUGUUGAACGCUUGUUAGGUUGUGCAUAUUUCAAUAGAUUCUGAAUUUAAAGGGAAUGUGAAUGUUCUGCCUAUGUGAUUUUUUCCAUUGUAGUUGAGUGUCAAAGUUUGUGAAAUUUCCUUGAGGGCCAUCCGGUCAAGUACAUCAUGAAGAAAGGGAAGGUAUGAGUGAUCUGCCUAAGUGCACAAUAUGGUUGUGGUUUAAUCUGGAACCAACGAACCUGACGUGUUGCAUGUCAAACAAAAUCGUGAAACAAAUGUAUGAUUGUGUAGCAGGCUACUUGCUGUCUAUUGCAAUCCGUCUCGACAUGAUAAUUGCCAUCAGGAGUGCUGACGGCAAGAACCUGAAUAACAGCCUCAAUAUUUUUUAUGCUGUGUUGAUGUAAACUGGAAAGUGCUGGUUCCUAACCAUGAUAUGUGAUGUAUUUCGUCAAUUGGUGUUGUAAAUCAUCAUUUCAUGACGUAUUUUGUAAACUGCUAUCUUGUAGAUACUGAUGUAUGGCUGAAUAAGUACUACGCGAUUAUGUGUAUUGUACUGCGAUAUGUGAUGUACUUUGGAAAUAUGUACUUUGGAAUAAGUACUGCGAUAUGUGA